AUUGAACGCUGGCGGCAUGCCUUACACAUGCAAGUCGAACGGUAACAGGUCUUCGGAUGCUGACGAGUGGCGAACGGGUGAGUAAUACAUCGGAACGUACCCAGUCAUGGGGGAGAGCUCGGCGAAAGCCGGAUUAAUACCGCAUACGCCCCGAGGGGGAAAGUUGGCGACAGCAAGGCCUCACGUUAUUGGAGCGGCCGAUGUCUGAUUAGCUAGUUGGUGAGGUUAAGGCUCACCAAGGCGACGAUCAGUAGCUGGUCUGAGAGGACGAACAGCCACACUGGGACUGAGACACGGCCCAGACUCCUACGGGAGGCAGCAGUGGGGAAUUUUGGACAAUGGGCGAAAGCCUGAUCCAGCAAUGCCGCGUGUGCGAAGAAGGCCUUCGGGUUGUAAAGCACUUUUGUUUGGGAAGAAAAUGUUCGUGCUAAUAUCAUGAGCAGAUGACGGUACCAAAAGAAUAAGCACCGGCUAACUACGUGCCAGCCGCCGCAGUAA
rnacentral:rRNA from 1 species